rnacentral:rRNA from 1 species
ACGUAGGGGACGAGCGUUGUCCGGAUUUACUGGGCCUAAAGGGCGCGUAGGCGGUCAUUUAAGUCCGCUUUUAAAUGGUUUGGCUUAACCGGAUCAUGCGGUUGAAACUGGAUGACUGGAGUGCUGGAGAGGCAAGUGGUAUUACCAGUGUAGCGGUGAAAUGCGGAGAUAUGGGGAAGAACACCGGUGGCGAAGGCGCCUUGCGGGCCAGAAACUGACGCUGAGGCGCGAAAGCCAGGGGAGCAAACGG